rnacentral:rRNA from 1 species
CACGUAGGGUGCGAGCGUUGUCCGGAAUUAUUGGGCGUAAAGAGCUCGUAGGCGGUGUGUCGCGUCGGCCGUGAAAACCUGCAGCUUAACUGUGGGCUUGCGGUCGAUACGGGCAUCACUGGAGUUCGGCAGGGAGACUGGAAUUCCUGGUGUAGCGGUGAAAUGCGCAGAUAUCAGGAGGAACACCGGUGGCGAAGGCGGGUCUCUGGGUAGUAACUGACGCUGAGGAACGAAAGCGUGGGUAGCGAACAGG